GCCUUCGUGGUGUAGUGGUCAGCACGCUCGAGGUCCGUGGUUCGAAUCCCGGUGAUGGCG
rnacentral:tRNA from 1 species